AAGAACUGCGCGCCAAAGGCGCUUCGCUACGGAGCAGAGCCGAAGCCGAGGCGAGGCGUGCAUGGAACUGCACGGAUUCUGAGGCGAGAUGGUGGCGUUUCGUCCCUCGCGGUUCCCGCCAGCCCUGUGCGAAAUUGCUGCCGCGGUUCCCGCUUCUUCCAUAGCCAUCCACACAAGUACAGAACAGCGCAGCUUGACUGCCAAAAACGAUGUGCUCCCUAAUCAACAAGCGAACCGGGCGUGCCGCCAUGGCGGCGCCCAAAGACAAGGAGCACGGUUGGUGGAAGCCGUUACCGCGUACUACUAGCAGAAGCGAAGCAGACUGCGCACGUCGCGACGGGCAGUAGCCAAGGUUCAGCACUUCAGCUGGAGCUGCUGCGUCGGCAACUGCCGCCGACUCGGCAUCGCCCGGCGGCCGUGCGCCGGCCUCGCGCUCGCGGGUGGAGUCGGCGGCGCCUCCAAAAGGUGCGGCGCUGACCGCCUGGCCUGGCACAACCAGGCGCGGCCUGGCCUGUCCCCGUCGCGUCACGCUCGACGAUUCUGACCCGCCUGUCGCGGCCAGCACUCGCGGCGGGCCGUGACCGGCGCUCGGGUCAUCGUUCGGCGCGGAACACCCGUCCUUUUCGGGCAGCCCGCCGCACCGGCGGUGAAGACAUGGAGCAGGUGCCUCUGCCUGCCACACGCGGAGGAGGCGAUAAUCGCUCUCUUUGUCAUUUCAAAUCAUUUUUUCUUCUUCUGUAUGAAAAGUAUCAGCGUAUGACCGAGUUGUGUUAUGUCGAUUCUAGUAUUUUACGAUAAUACGAUUAUACCAAAUCAAAA
rnacentral:lncRNA from 7 species